rnacentral:snRNA from 1 species
AUACUUACCUGGCAAGGAGAUACCGUGAUCACGAAGGCGGUUCUCCCAGGGCGAGGCUCACCAUUGCACCCCGGUGGCGCUGACCCUGCGAUUAACCCAAAUGUGGUUAACUCGAGUGCGCAAUUUUUGUUAGUGGGGGACUGCGUUCGCGCUAUCCCCCU